GACGGAGGAUGCAAGUGUUAUCCGGAAUCACUGGGCGUAAAGCGUCUGUAGGUGGUCAAAUAAGUCAACUGUUAAAUCUUGAGGCUCAACCUCAAAAUCGCAGUCGAAACUAUUCGACUAGAGUAUAGUAGGGGUAAAGGGAAUUUCCAGUGGAGCGGUGAAAUGCGUAAAGAUUGGAAAGAACACCGAUGGCGAAGGCACUUUACUGGGCUAUUACUAACACUCAGAGACGAAAGCUAGGGUAGCAAAUGGG
rnacentral:rRNA from 1 species